GGGGCUGAUUCUGGAUUCGACGGGAUUUGCGAAACCCAAGGUGCAUGCCGAGGGGCGGUUGGCCUCGUAAAAAGCCGCAAAAAAAUAGUCGCAAACGACGAAAACUACGCUUUAGCAGCUUAAUAACCUGCUUAGAGCCCUCUCUCCCUAGCCUCCGCUCUUAGGACGGGGAUCAAGAGAGGUCAAACCCAAAAGAGAUCGCGCGGAUGCCCUGCCUGGGGUUGAAGCGUUAAAACGAAUCAGGCUAGUCUGGUAGUGGCGUGUCCGUCCGCAGGUGCCAGGCGAAUGUAAAGACUGACUAAGCAUGUAGUACCGAGGAUGCAGGAAUUUCGGACGCGGGUUCAACUCCCGCCAGCUCCACCA
rnacentral:tmRNA from 1 species